CUGUAGCCAAUUAAGAUGAUCAGGUAGGUCCCUUUCCUCACGGGUUCCUGCUGUGCAAUGGUUGCUGUCUCCUUUGGAGUGUAUUUAUCCUGUCAUCUACAUGGGCUACCCCAAGUGACCUUGAAGACAAUU
ensembl:snoRNA SNORA70 Small nucleolar RNA SNORA70